rnacentral:rRNA from 1 species
AGCAGCCGCGGUAAUUCCAGCUCCAAUAGCGUAUAUUAAAGUUGUUGCAGUUAAAAAGCUCGUAGUUGAAUUUCGGGGUUCAUACGUUGGUCGGGCUAUUUGGUCUGUACUUAUGUAAUGGAUUCCUACCUUCUGAAUAACCGGCAUGCCAUUAAUUUGGUGCGCCGGGGAAGCAGGACUGUUACCUUGAAAAAAUUAGAGUGCUUAAAGCAGGCUAUCGCCUGAAUACAUUAGCAUGGAAUAAUGAAAUAGGACGGCAUGGUUCUAUUUUGUUGGUUUCUAGGAUCACCGUAAUGAUUAAUAGGGAUAGUUGGGGGCAUUAGUAUUCAAUUGUCAGAGGUGAAAUUCUUGGAUUUAUUGAAGACUAACUUCUGCGAAAGCAUUUGCCAAGGAUGUUUUCAUUAAUCAAGAACGAAAGUUAGGGAUCGAAGACGAUCAGAUACCGUCGUAGUCUUAACCAUAAACUAUAGACCGACUAGGGAUCGGACGAUGUUAAUUUUUANGUACUCGUUCGCGUCCU